rnacentral:rRNA from 1 species
UACGAAGGGGGCUAGCGUUGCUCGGAAUCACUGGGCGUAAAGGGUGCGUAGGCGGGUUUUAAGUCAGAGGUGAAAUCCUGGAGCUCAACUCCGGAACUGCCUUUGAUACUGGUAAUCUAGAGAUCGGAAGAGGUUAGUGGAAUUCCCAGUGUAGAGGUGAAAUUCGUAGAUAUUGGGAAGAACACCAGUGGCGAAGGCGGCUAACUGGUCCGAUACUGACGGCUGAGGUGCGAAAGCGUGGGGAGCAAAC